ensembl:lncRNA
AAAGUGGGUCCAUCUCCUUUGACUACAGAGCAUCAUGGCCUAGAUUCAGCAGGAGGCAGAGGGACUCAGGAACACAACCACACUGCUCUCAUUCGGGUGGAAGCAAAGGGACUCAAACACAACCACACUGCUCUCAUUCAACUGGAAGCAAAGGGACUCAAACACAACCACACUGCUCUCAUUCGGGUGGAAGCAAAGGGACUCAAACACAACCACACUGCUCUCAUUCGGCUGGAAGUAAAGGGACUCAAACACAACCACACUGCUCUCAUUCAACUGGAAGCAAAGGGACUCAGAAACACAACCACACUGCUCUCAUUCAACUGGAAGUAAAGGGACUCAAACACAACCA